UGUGUGUGCUUGUACUUGUCUCCAAGUGAGAACCAAGAAACGUAUAUUCCUACCAAACUGAGGACAUUUUGACAAAGUGAGGCCAUUUUGGCCGGUCUCCAAUUCUUUAAAGGCCUGUUUGAGGGUUAAGAUUUUAGGGCAGGGGUUAGAAUUGAGUUUUGGUUCAGAUUAGAGACAAGGUUAGACGUCUGUCUGUAGCUUUGGUAAAGGAUGGGACAGUGAUCUCUCCUCAAUUAUCCUCCUCCUUCACCUGAUUCCUCCUUCCGCCCAAGGCCAUAAAAGACCAGGCAGAGUGUCGGCAUCCCAAGCGGAGAAGCAUUUUGUUGUGUUCAAGAAGAGUGGAACAAGUAUCGAAGAACACGUGGAUUCUAUCAACACUAGUAAGCAGCCCUAUCUACUUGCUCUCGGCACGAAGAGGAGCACCAUCCACAAGUUCAUCAUCAUUCUGGACAAGCAGGUUAUACCGUGCAAAUCAACAACCUCUCUUGGGGCGUUUGAUGAGUUGUUCAAAGCACACUUUGUGUUUGGCACUACGUAUAAUCAGAUGCUGCACAACAUGUACACCUUCAUACAGACGACCAUCUUCCAAAUAGAUAUUGGCAAAGUUCGUGAGAGCCCACGUGUGGCAGAGAUUAGGGCAAGGCUGUUACACUAGACAAUGCAUUCACUAAAAUGUAAGCAACCUAUUUGUUGCUCAUCUAUCUAUGGGAUUUUUAUUUUAUUUGUAAUUUUUUGUUGAUGUUGGUUAUUACAUUUGUCUUUUAAUACAAUGGGUCUGAUUUGUUUUGUUUGCCAGACUACUUUUGGCAGUACAAACUUGCUUGUGAGACAUAUGCGAUUGAUUCAUGGAUUUCACCCUGGUAAAUCACUUCGCCUAAAGUGUGGUCAGGCAGGGUGCUGCCAUUUUUUUUGGUACCUUUGCAGGCUUAAGGAAACAUUUAAACACGCGACAUGCUCAAGAAAUUGCAGGGCAUGGGGUCAGAAGUCACACUGUAGCCUGUGAUAAUGUUCCAGAUAAUGUUCUGUCCCAUGAUGUUGAAGCAGCCGGUAGCUCCCAAGACAGUAGCUCUCAAGACCUAUCAGGGACCAACAGAAGCAUUCGUGAUAUGUGUGGUUCUGCUAUUGCACAGCUUCAAGUUUCUGGUGUUGGCCAGUCUUCAUUGAAUAGUUUUGUUCUGUCCAUGGAGGAAGUGGCACUGGAGAUACAGAGUCAGGCUAAAGAAGCAGCCUUAAAAUGUGUGCAUUCACAGGAUACUAGUACAAAAGCUAAAAUUGAGCAAAGAUGUAAAAUCCUUUUACAUCAAUGAAUUCAGAUUCGAAGCGAAGCCUUUAUUUUAAAGAAAAAUAUAAAACUAUUGAGCCAGAGGAGAAAGUACUUGGUGUCAGAUUUGAGAACAGAAGAAAUAGAUGUACUGGAACUUAUGAUCAGGUAGUUGUUACAGAUAAAUUUGCUUAUGUUCCAAUUUUACAAACACUGCAGUCAAUUCUAAGUAAUCCACAUCUUAGUGAUAUCUUUACAUCUAGUCACACUCCAAAUGAUGGUGUAUAUUGUGAUAUAAAAGAUGGGUUGUAUAUGAAAAGGCAUCCUCUUUUUUCAAGCAAAAAUUUGGCAUUGCAAAUUCAAUUAUUUUAUGAUGAAUUCGAGACCGCUAAUCCUCUUGGAUCCAAAAAAGGUGUCCAUAAAUUGGGAGGUAUAUACUUUACAUUGAGAAAUUUUCCACCAAAGUUAAAUUCAUGUUUAGUCAACAUACAUUUGUGUGCACUUUUUCAUGCCCAAGAAAUUAAAACCUAUGGAUUUGACACUAUACUUGAGCCAAUAAUCAAUGACUUGAAAGUGCUGGAAACUGAUGGGAUUGAAGUUCCUGUGCUCAAAAGUCCUGUUCAUGGCAGCAUUGUACAAGUAACAGGGGAUAAUCUUGGUUUACAUGGACUGUUUGGGUUAGUAGAAUCAUUCAGUGCUCGGAAUUGUUGUCGAUUUUGUGUCAUAGACAAAAGUGAUUUUCAGACGGUUUUCUGUAAAGAUGACCAGAGUGUAUUAUUUCGAACAAAAGACAUGCAUGAAAAGCAUUGCCAUACUCUACAAACAAAUCCACAGCUGUAUGUGGUGUUAAGCGUUCAUGUUCAUUGAAUUCUCUGAAAUAUUUUCACACAAUUGAUAAUUUUUCUGUUGACAUAAUGCAUGAUAUUCUUGAAGGAGUUGCACAGUUUGAAGUGAAACUUAUCUUGGAGUAUUUGCAGAAGAACAUCUUGACUUCAAAACAGUUAGCACGUAGAAUAGAGUCAUUCAACUAUGGUUACACUGAGAGGAGAAAUCGCCCACCUGCAGUUAAGUUAAAUGAUGGAAGUAAUGAUUUGGGCCUGAAUGCCAUCCAGUCGUGGUGUUUGUUGCGCAACAUGCCAUUAAUAUUUGGUGAUUUAAUAGAGAGCGACAAUGAAUACUGGCAUCUUUUACUGUUGCUUGAGCAGAUAGUGGAUAUUGUUUUCUCUCCAGUCAUAACAUAUGGCAUGACCAUCUUUUUGAAGCACAUAAUUGUUGACCAUCACCGGCUUUUUAAGCACCUGUUUCCUGAUAGAAAUCUCUUGCCUAAGCAUCACUUUAUGUUACACUAUCCUAGAUGUAUAAGGAAUAUUGGACCAAUUGUGCACACAUGGUGCAUGCGUUAUGAGGCUAAGCAUAAAUUUUUCAAGACUCAACUAAAAAGUUACAAAAACAUCACAAAGACUUUAGCUAAAAAGCAUCAGAGAUAUAUGGCCAUGUGUUGGGAAUCUUUUACCCAGUGCAGAUUAACAAUUGGUCCAGGAAAAUGGUGCAGCUUCAAGAUUUAAAAGAAGGUCCAGAGUUUGCGGUCAAAUUAAACUCUGCAUUAUCAACAACUGUCUUGUCUGUGAGGUGGGUAAAGCACUAUGGCACUGAAUAUCGCCCUGACUUAUUAGUAUGUGUGGAGGUAACUGAUGAGAUGCCAGUAUUUUGUAAAAUUAAGACUAUAUUAGUGAAAGAUGAGCAGAUUUUACUCAGUGGCACUGCUGUUGAAACCAUUUGCUUUGACAAACAUUUUCAUUCAUUUAAAAUUGUGUUUAGGCCAAUUCAGACACUUAAGGUAUUCAGUGUUAAAGACUUGCUGUAUUAAAAAACAAUGGAUGUUCAAAUGGCAUAUGGAUCAGCAGAUUCUUCACUUUUUAUAGUUCCAUACUGCCAUCUAAUGAAGCUUUGACCAGAAAGUUCUAAAGAUUUGAAUGUUUGUUGGCUAACAUUUCACUAUGUAUUUGGUACAUUACCAAAAUCUGACUGUUAUACUGCUGCUUUUAAUCGGUCAGCACAGUAAAAUGUUGGUUCUGUCAUUGAUAUUGUUAGUUUUACAUGCUGCACUGUUGAACGUGAAAUAUGUUUAGCACAUAAGUAUAUACCAAGUAUAAUGUGUGUGUAUAAUUAGGUAGGUAAGUUUACAGAAAAUACCAUGUCUUCAGGGCUUUUAAUUUUGUUAUACAACUGUGAAAAUGUUAUUUGAACAUAUCAAAACCCGGUGGGUUAAUGUUUUUAUUUAUGCUUUUAAUAAAAUAGAGACAUGGA